rnacentral:tRNA from 1 species
GUCCAGGGUAGCCUAGUGGACAUGUCAUCUGCCCAGUAAGCGGAACACUGUGGGUUCGAUUCCCAUCCCCGGACA